rnacentral:misc_RNA from 1 species
GGGGGUCAUUUAGACUUUGAUAAUGGCAAUGAAUCUAUUUAGGAAAAGAAGAAGCAGAAGGUGGAGAUUUUCUUUCUAGCACUCUUUGCAAUCUCAAAGAGUUUAAAUACAAGGCUAAAGAAAAAGAGUAAUUCCAAUUUCGAUUAAAUUCCCGUCAUACGUCGUUGUCUCGUCACUUUGCUCUACAUUUCAAGGACUGCAGAGGUUCUUAAGAUCCUCCUCUUUUGCAUACCAACCUGGUAAUAUCUUCGACACGUGUGGGUAGAGAUCUUUAUAUGAAUUUCUGAUUGUCCCUUCUGCAACACCGGUAGCUACCGAGAUAUCUUUCAGAGGCUUCUUAUCAUCUGAAAGUUGAGUAAUAAUGUAAAUAACUGCUGCUGCAAUGGAAAUUGGGCUUCUCCUAAUAUCAAACUCUUCAGAUUUCUGUACAGCUUCUUGGGCAGCUUUAACAGCUUGAUUAUUCAUCCCAAGAUUAGAACAAAAACGCCUCAUAAAGUCUCCAGCGUGUAUUGUUCCCAUCUCCACAGACUGGCCUGUCUCCAACCCCAACUGUUUCACAAUGUAUUCUUUUGCUCGGCCAAUCUCCUUC